rnacentral:lncRNA from 1 species
UCCACAUAAAGCUACUUGGGCUCUUCUAGGCCCACCACUUUCAGCCAAUGUUACAUUGGCCACUAAGUCUCCUAAUGAGUUACCCCAAGCAAGAACAGUUAGGCCCAAUAUUGAUGGGCUUAUACCAAGUAUUAGGCCCAUUGAAACCAACAAAGAAAUAAGCUCUUCAGCCAAGAUAUAAGUCCAAGUAAUACUCAUUAGAAAACCAAGCCCAAGCCAUAAAAAGUUGAACUUCUUUGGUGGGUUAAGCCCAUCACUAGUGAAAAACACAACCACCCCACAAACAAGCCCAAUAAGCCCACUAACUUGAGGGAAAUGCUUUCCAAGUUGGGAAAAUGUGAUAGGCCCAAGCCCACUAGUGUAUUGAAUAUAGGCCCAGCAUAGCAUCCACAUAAAAGACAUGUCAACACUCAACAACUAGCCAAUUUUGCUUCAACUAUUGGAUCAAAUCUAUCGGCAUUUUCUUAUGGAAGUUACGUUGAAAGUUAAAUUCGACAUAUUAAACUGUCUAGUCUUGUUAAAAAUACGACGGACUAGGUCGAAAAUAACCAAAAAUUCACGUGGGACUAUCUGAGCUAAACUCCACUUUAAAAGACGUUUUAGACUAUAUAAACGGUGACGUAAAAGAUAUGUCAACGCUCAAUGACUAGAUAACUUUAUUUAAACUGUUCGAUCAAAUAUGUGGAAUCUUUGAUUUGAUUUAUAAUAAGAAUUAACUGAAACUUAUACCGUAACUGACUAUCAGAUCUGCCCACAACAGAUGUCUACAAGUCAAUAACAUGAAAAAUCAUUAAUCACGUGUCUAGACAGAUCCCCGACGUACUCAACAGUCACAAAUCUUAUGAAUCAAUCAAGUGAAAUAUCGAAUGUCAGUUUCAUCCCCUUGAAUUUGGAGCGUGACAAAUUUGAUAUUGUUUCUAUUAGAAAGUUUUAUAUUAUUAUUAUAAGAAUAAAGGACCCAAAAAAAUAAAAAAAAUCUGUCAGGUCAGAGCUAGAAAUCUGGAUUAGGGGCCUGAUAGGUACAGGUUUUAGUUGAGGGGUCUAAGUGAAUUUUCAAAAUAACUUUAAAUGGCUGCCGAUGCCUUUGCCCCUAAAGAAACAACUAUGACAAAAAAGUAUACAUGGUCGUAUAAAUAAUGGAAAUUGAAUUCCAAGUUUAACUACUUUAUUUUUUGUUUAUUCACAUUUUAAUCCCCACUCACUAACAAAAGAUUGAGAAAAAUUAGUAAGAGCGAAUGAUAAAAAAUACAUCUAAAAUAUUUUGAUAUUUAGAGUUUUAUAUCUGAAUUGUUACGUGUGCGAAUUUCGUACAUGGGCUAUCACUAACUAUUUAUUAGAACACACAUCAACUGUUAAUUGUGAGUUUCAUACUAAACCUUUAAGUAGGAUAUUUAAUAGUUUAGACACGUUUUGAUGAAUAGUUGAUGAUAGUUAACGUAGAAAAUUAACACAUCCAAAAAUAAAAAUAUUUUAUGUAUGUUUUUGAUCAUUAACUCAUUUGGCAAUGAAUCAUUUAGAAAGAGGAAACAAGACGUCUAGACAUAUAUGUAGAGUUUUUUAAAAGUAAUCACUAACGAUUAAAAUAUUCUCCAUUCUUAAUUAGAUGCCUAACGACUUGUUUGGAUGAAGUUACAUAUUUUAACUUUUUAAGUCUUAUAAAAAAAUAAAAUGAGUAGCCUCACUAGUAUCUAACAAAGUUACUAUCAAUGAAUUGUAAAGUUAUUCUCAAUUAACAUAUGUGAUUCAUUCUGAUAAACAUUAUAACACACCAGCUCUUUUCACUUAUUUUAUCGAUCGCAUCUCGAUUAGAUUAGAGUCUUGAAUGCAUGAGUAAUUUGUGUACAUGGGCAUGAUUGUAAAUAAAAAUAAUUUUUUACUUAAAAAUAAGCAUAGAUCAGGAGAUUCCCAAAUAGGUCAUGGAGUAAGAAAAGAUAACACAUCAUUAGUAUAUAUACUUGGGAUGAAUACAUAUAAAUACAAUUUUACAUCAAAGUAGAAAUCUUUGAUUCUACUUUACUACUAAGUACAUCAAACCUAACCAAGAUGUAUGUCGUUCGACUCGAUCUCAGACUCUUUCCUGUCCUAUUUGACUCUCCAGCCGUUGUUAUUUAGGUGGCAUUCCGAGAUCAAAUUCCUCCCAGAAACACGUCGUCCGACCCAACCUCAGACUUUUUCUUCCCGACCUAUUCAACUCUCUGCUGUAGUUAUUUAGGUGGUAUUCUGAGAUCGAAUUCCUCUCGGAAACACACGAAACAAAGAUAUGAAAGACUUUUAUGGGGAAAUUUGAAAGUCAAUAAAGCCCAAAGCUCUAGCAAGCUUUAAGAACAAGAAGCAUAAGUAUAUAGCCAAAAGCCCAAUUCCAAAGAACUUAUCAAGCCUCAUAUCUCUUUUAGGCAAGAUUACCAAGGCCCAAAGUAGGCCCAAUAACAAAAAGCCCAUAGUUUCAUAGAUAGUUGAAUCCAUUGGCACUAUAUAACUUGAGGGAAAUGCUUUCCAAGUUGUGAAAAUGAGUGAUAGGCCCAAGCCCACUAGUGUAUUGAAUAUAGGCCCAGCAUAGCAUCCACAUAAAGCUACUUGGGCUCCUCUAGGCCCACCACUUUUAGCCAGCGUUACAUUGGCCACUAAGUCUCCUAAUGAAUUACCCCAAGCAAGAACAGUUAGGCCCAGUAUUGAUGGGCUUAUACCAAGUAUUAGGCCCAUUGAAACCAACAAAGAAAUAAGUUCUUCAGCUAAGAUGUAAGUCCAAGUAAUACUCAUGAAGAACCCAAGUCCAAGCCACAAAAAGUUGAACUU